GUGCAAUCACCGCACAUCUUGUUCGUGGUGACAGUCACACUCUUGAGCACGAAGGGCAGCCCAGAGCUGACAGAGUUCACAGACUCUGGUGCUGAAGCGGAGCCAGAGGAGGGGGAGAGCCGCGGAGCUGGUGCUCCGGGUCCGUCUGGGCGGCGUACGCAACGCGCCGACCGCUAACUUGGGCGCGUUCCGUAUCGCGGCCUUUACAGCUUCACCCACAGCUCCUCCCCUUAACGCAAUCAACUGAACUUUAGCUAAAUAAAAAAUAAAAAUGCAGGCCAUUACACACACACACACACUGUAACACAAAAUGACUUUUACACUCAAAAAUGAUUAGGGGGAAA